GCCUCCAUAGUUUAAUGGAUAGAACGACAGUUUCCGGUACUGUAGAUACGGGUUCGAUUCCUGUUGGGGGUGCCA
rnacentral:tRNA from 1 species